rnacentral:rRNA from 1 species
AGCGAACGCUGGCGGCAGGCUUAACACAUGCAAGUCGAGCGGGCGUAGCAAUACGUCAGCGGCAGACGGGUGAGUAACGCGUGGGAACAUACCUUUUGGUUCGGAACAACACAGGGAAACUUGUGCUAAUACCGGAUAAGCCCUUACGGGGAAAGAUUUAUCGCCGAAAGAUUGGCCCGCGUCUGAUUAGCUAGUUGGUGAGGUAACGGCUCACCAAGGCGACGAUCAGUAGCUGGCUGGGAGGAUGAUCAGCCACAUUGGGACUGAGACACGGCCCAAACUCCUACGGGAGGCAGCAGUGGGGAAUAUUGGACAAUGGGCGCAAGCCUGAUCCAGCCAUGCCGCGUGAGUGAUGAAGGCCCUAGGGUUGUAAGCUCUUUUGUGCGGGAAGAUAAUGACGGUA